AAAUAACAACACUGGAAAUUUUAUUUCUAGUGAUUGGAAUGAUGGGAAUUUAAACCCCUUUCAGAGUAACAAUUGGAGGGCAAGUCUGGUGCCAGCAGCCGCGGUAAUUCCAGCUCCAAUAGCGUAUAUUAAAGUUGUUGCAGUUAAAAAGCUCGUAGUUGGAUGUCUGCUGGAAGCAAUCAGUCCGCCCUAUUUGUAGGGUGUGCACUUGAUGAAUUCUGGCAUUUUUGUCCCAAUGAUGUAACGGGGCGGUGGUACUCGGUGAAAGCCGAGUAUCCUGCUUUCCGAUUAUUGGGAUACUGUUACUUUGAGAAAAUUAGAGUGUUUGAAGCAGGCUAAUUGCCUUGAAUACUGCAGCAUGGAAUAACAAUAUAGGAUUUCGGUUCUAUUUUGUUGGUUUCUAGGACUGAAAUAAUGAUUAAUAGGGACAGUUGGGGGCAUUCGUAUUUA
rnacentral:rRNA from 1 species